rnacentral:rRNA from 1 species
AGUUUGAUCCUGGCUCAGGACGAACGCUGGCGCCGUGCUUAACACAUGCUAGUCGAACGGAAAGGCCCUUCGGGGUACUCGAGUGGCGGAACGGGUGAGUAACACGUGGGUGAUCUGCCCUGCACUCUGGGAUAAGCCUGGGAAACUGGGUCUAAUACCGGAUAGGACCGCAUGCUUCAUGGUGUGUGGUGCAAAGCUUUUGCGGUGUGGGAUGAGCCCGCGGCCUAUCAGCUUGUUGGUGGGGUAAUGGCCUACCAAGGCGACGACGGGCAGCCGGCCUGAGAGGGUGACCGGCCACACUGGGACUGAGAUACGGCCCAGACUCCUACGGGAGGCAGCAGUGGGGAAUAUUGCACAAUGGGCGCAAGCCUGAUGCAGCGACGCCGCGUGAGGGAUGACGGCCUUCGGGUUGUAAACCUCUUUCAGUAGGGACGAAGCGAAAGUGACGGUACCUACAGAAGAAGGACCGGCCAACUACGUGCCAGCAGCCGCGGUAAUACGUAGGGUCCGAGCGUUGUCCGGAAUUACUGGGCGUGAAGAGCUCGUAGGUGGUUUGUCGCGUUGUUCGUGAAAACUCACAGCUUAACUGUGGGCGUGCGGGCGAUACGGGCAGACUAGAGUACUGCAGGGGAGACUGGAAUUCCUGGUGUAGCGGUGGAAUGCGCAGAUAUCAGGAGGAACACCGGUGGCGAAGGCGGGUCUCUGGGCAGUAACUGACGCUGAGGAGCGAAAGCGUGGGUAGCGAACAAGAUUAGAUACCCUGGUAGUCCACGCCGUAAACGGUGGGUACUAGGUGUGGGUUUCCUUCCUUGGGAUCCGUGCCGUAGCUAACGCAUUAAGUACCCCGCCUGGGGAGUACGGUCGCAAGACUAAAACUCAAAGGAAUUGACGGGGGCCCGCACAAGCGGCGGAGCAUGUGGAUUAAUUCGAUGCAACGCGAAGAACCUUACCUGGGUUUGACAUGCACAGGACGUAUCUAGAGAUAGGUAUUCCCUUGUGGCCUGUGUGCAGGUGGUGCAUGGCUGUCGUCAGCUCGUGUCGUGAGAUGUUAGGUUAAGUCCCGCAACGAGCGCAACCCUUGUCCUAUGUUGCCAGCGGGUAAUGCCGGGGACUCGUAGGAGACUGCCGGGGUCAACUCGGAGGAAGGUGGGGAUGACGUCAAGUCAUCAUGCCCCUUAUGUCCAGGGCUUCACACAUGCUACAAUGGCCAGUACAGAGGGCUGCGAAGCCGUAAGGUGGAGCGUAUCCCUCAAAGCUGGUCUCAGUUCGGAUUGGGGUCUGCAACUCGACCCCAUGAAGUCGGAGUCGCUAGUAAUCGCAGAUCAGCAACGAUGCGGUGAAUACGUUCCCGGGCCUUGCAAAAAGCGCCCGUCAAG